rnacentral:tRNA from 1 species
UGCAGUAUAACUAAGUGGUAAGGCAUUGGUUUUUUGUACCAGCACAAAGGUUCAAAUCCUUUUACUCCAA